GAUGAACGCUGACAGAAUGCUUAACACAUGCAAGUCAACUUGAAUUUGGGUUUUUAACUUAGGUUUGGGUGGCGGACGGGUGAGUAACGCGUAAAGAACUUGCCUCACAGCUAGGGACAACAUUUGGAAACGAAUGCUAAUACCUAAUAUUAUGAUAAUAGGGCAUCCUAUAAUUAUGAAAGCUAUAAGCGCUGUGAGAGAGCUUUGCGUCCCAUUAGCUAGUUGGAGAGGUAACGGCUCACCAAGGCGAUGAUGGGUAGCCGGCCUGAGAGGGUGAUCGGCCACAAGGGGACUGAGACACGGCCCUUACUCCUACGGGAGGCAGCAGUGGGGAAUAUUGGACAAUGGACCGAGAGUCUGAUCCAGCAAUUCUGUGUGCACGAUGAAGUUUUUCGGAAUGUAAAGUGCUUUCAGUUGGGAAGAAACAAAUGACGAUACCAACAGAAGAAGUGACGGCUAAAUACGUG
rnacentral:rRNA from 1 species